AAGGGGUGGUCGUUUUUAACUACGUAUGAAAUUGACUUGUAUGAUUUCUCUACAUUGACACGGUUUUAUUUGCUUUGUCUUUACGUGUGCAGGAGGGCUCACAGGAGGAAGGCAGACACACCAGUUGGUUGCCUGCAUGUUGCUGCUACGAGAGAUGAUUCCCAGGAUUAGGGGGAUCAGAAAAAAGACCCUUCUAAUUUAGAUGCCGAGACAUCAGAGAGGCUGACUGAUUUGAGAUGUUCUGCUGUUCGGAUUUGCAUCUUCUUUUUUAAGACCUCGCCCAGCUGGACAAUUCCCAGCGAUUCCAGACUCUUCGGAUACAGAGCGCUGAGCAAAUUAGCUUGCUGCCUGUCAUUCCACCUAUCAGAGAGAAACAGAGGAAGGGUGUACUUUGCCUCUUGUCCAAUGGCUGCUGGAGAUAUGCACCAGCACCGUUUUGCUCUGCAAAGGAAACACAGGCUAAUUGAUCUCAGGAAUGUCUUCUGGAUCCUGUUCAAGGCGUUCAUGGCGAGUCUGGACCACAGAGAUAACAUUUUGUCAGCUGCACAUCCAUAAUGUAACUCUUUCGUUCCUCCAAACUGCAAAGGUGGAGGCCUU